UUACCAUGCCCAGCAACUGUCGUGCCUC
rnacentral:sRNA from 1 species